rnacentral:rRNA from 1 species
AGCUCCAGUAGCGUAUAUUAAUGUUGUUGCAGUUAAAAAGCUCGUAGUUGGAUUUCUAGCCGACAUGCGUGGUCCGCUUCACUCAGUGUCGUGAGUACCGCAGCGUGUCGUCUAUCCUAUCAGUUUGUUCGGGCUCCGUGUCCGUUCUUUAACUGGUUCUUUUACUUUGAAAAAAUUAGAGUGUUUAAAGCAGGCUUGCGCAAUGAAUACAUUAGCAUGGAAUAAUAACAUAGGACUUCGGUCUCUAUUUUGUUGGUUUCUGGAACUGAAGUAAUGAUUGAUAGGGAUAGUUGGGGGUGCUAGUAUUGAGCGGCCAGAGGUGAAAUUCUUGGAUUCGCUCAAGACUAACUUAUGCGAAAGCAUUCACCAAGGAUGUCUUCUUUAAUCAAGAACGAAAGUA